rnacentral:sRNA from 2 species
UGUUCAUAUUCGCUGAGUUUCCGUUAGAAACGGAGAGCAGGGGAACCAAUUGCGAUAGGCAGGAACGUUCAUGCUUGUCGCCGGGGUGAAUCGGCAAGCCGGCCGCAUGAUUGCGGCAGCAAGCCGUAGGGCGACUCUAGACGCCCGAAUCCGUCAGCUAACCUUGUAAGCGUUGAUAGAGAGGGUGA